GAUGAACGCUGGCGGCGUGCUUAACACAUGCAAGUCGAACGAAGCACUUUAUUUGAUUUCCUUCGGGACUGAUUAUUUUGUGACUGAGUGGCGGCCGGGUGAGUAACGCGUGGGUAACCUGCCUUGUACAGGGGGAUAACAGUUGGAAACGGCUGCUAAUACCGCAUAAGCGCACAGCAUCGCAUGAUGCAGUGUGAAAAACUCCGGUGGUAUAAGAUGGACCCGCGUUGGAUUAGCUAGUUGGUGAGGUAACGGCCCACCAAGGCGACAAUCCAUAGCCGACCUGAUAGGGUGACCGGCCACAUUGGGACUGAGACACGGCCCAAACUCCUACGGGAGGCAGCAGUGGGGAAUAUUGCACAAUGGGCGAAAGCCUGAUGCAGCGACGCCGCGUGAGCGAAGAAGUAUUUCGGUAUGUAAAGCUCUAUCAGCAGGGAAGAUAAUGACGUUACCUGACUAAGAAGCACCGGCUAAAUACGUG
rnacentral:rRNA from 1 species